UGGGGAAUUUUGGACAAUGGGCGAGAGCCUGAUCCAGCAAUGCCGCGUGUGCGAAGAAGGCCUUCGGGUUGUAAAGCACUUUUGUCCGGAAAGAAAUCCGCCUGGCCAAUACCCGGGCGGGAUGACGGUACCGGAAGAAUAAGCACCGGCUAACUACGUGCCAGCAGCCGCGGUAAUACGUAGGGUGCGAGCGUUAAUCGGAAUUACUGGGCGUAAAGCGUGCGCAGGCGGCUUUGUAAGACAGAUGUGAAAUCCCCGGGCUCAACCUGGGAACUGCAUUUGUGACUGCAAGGCUAGAGUGCGUCAGAGGGCGGUGGAAUUCCGCGUGUAGCAGUGAAAUGCGUGGAGAUGCGGAGGAACACCGAUGGCGAAGGCAGCCUCCUGGGAUGACACUGACGCUCAUGCACGAAAGCGUGGGGAGCAAACA
rnacentral:rRNA from 1 species